GGUGAAUCUAACAGCAGAAAGGACUGAAGAAUGUAACCCUUGCCAGAAUGGAGGAACAUGGUCAGGCAUCCAUGGAAGUUUCCAGUGCUUCUGUCCCGAAGGCUUCAAGGGGGAUUACUGUCAAACAGGUUAGGACAAGACAAAUGGACUCGAUACCCUCAAGACAUAGCACCAAGAAGAGAUAGCUAGACAAGAAUAUAAUCAUUCAGUAAGGCAGUGGUGUAGCGGGGGCCUCUGGCAUUACUGGGAUGGGCAGUAAUUUUAUUAGAUGGAUGUAAGUAUCAAUUGUCGAGGCUACCUACGGGGGGGAACGAGGCAGGAUACUUUAUUUACUUCUUUUCACUUUUCCUUUCCCUUUCUCCCUUUCCUUUUUUUUUUUUUGGUAUACAUCGUGCCCCUUGCAUCUACUUCAUAGGAGAGAUUGGUUCUUCAAAGUCAUGAAAAAAGAUAUUUAAUACGGGAAACGGGAUACAUGUGUAUAUUAAAUCUCUCUAUUUUGAAUAUUUACCACGUGACAAUGUGGCAGAUCUCUAAUUGGCUAAAAAUACUGAACCAUAACUUCAAUGAUAAUUUUUUUUCACGCUGUUUUUUAUAAUUGACAUUGAAUAGAACAUAUCAAACUAGUUUACCAAAUUCACAUGAGCUACAAUGAUGAAACUUGGUCAGGAUUUUUUAUUCAACACUGACGUUCAUACAAUAUAUUGCUUUUUCUAUUACGGUAAUGGGGUUUGGUCCUCUCAACAAUAUGUCAAAACAUCUGGAAUUUAAUAGAAAAUAUACGAGAUAAUACCAACAUUUUCUAUGUUUUUUUUAAACAUAUCUUUUACAAGGUAUAUGUGCAUUAUUAUAGAUGAAAUAAAUCAAAUGAAAUAAUGAUGUAUUCCGGGGCCUACUAAACGCCCCUGUACUUUUUUGUAGCUCUGCUGGCUUCCAAAUACGUCGAAUUCCCCUAUACUUUUUGUUUGUAUUCUCUUAUAUAAAAAUUGUAUCUUAAAUGUUUCAUAUUUGUGGUGAUAGAGAAAUAAUUAUAACAUAUAUAAACAAAAUAAUAAUAUCACUUUAUGUAGUCUAAUACAUUCGUCCUGCACUCGUUGUUUUGUUUUUAUGUUUAAGUCAGGUGAUGUUCAUCAAUACUGGGAAAAUUUGAUUUUUAUAACUUAUUUAUAGAGAGCAAUCUGAAAUAAGAGUGUGGUGAAUGUACACUUCCUCCUUUUACAAUUUGAAUGUAUAUGG